UGUAGACCCGAAACCAGGUGACCUACCCAUGUCCAGGGUGAAGGUGCGGUAAAACGCACUGGAGGCCCGAACCCGUGUACGUUGAAAAGUGCUGGGAUGAGGUGUGGGUAGCGGUGAAAUUCCAAACGAACUUGGAGAUAGCUGGUUCUCUCCGAAAUAGCUUUAGGGCUAGCCUCGGAAAGAGAAUCGUGGAGGUAGAGCACUGUUUGGACUAGGGGCCCGUCACGGGUUACUGAAUUCAGAUAAACUCCGAAUGCCAUAGAUUUAUAUCCGGGAGUCAGACGGUGAGUGAUAAGAUCCAUCGUCGAAAGGGGAACAGCCCAGACCACCAAUUAAGGUCCCUAAGUGUAUCCUAAGUGGAAAAGGCGGUGGAGUUGCAUAGACAGCUAGGAUGUUGGCUCAGAAGCAGCCACCAUUUAAAGAGUGCGUAAUAGCUCACUAGCCGAGUGAUUCUGCGCCGAAAAUGUACCGGGGCUAAGGAUACCACCGAAAUUGUGGAUGCGACCAAUAGGUCGCGUG
rnacentral:ncRNA from 1 species